rnacentral:lncRNA from 1 species
GUACUGGACUGGUGGUGGAGAUGUUUACAUGGACACAGCAGUGCCUGUCCAGCUGCUCUGAAGGUGACAGGUGGAUGAACAGCUGGUUCCCACCUGCUGGGAUAAGAGAGCAGAUGGAGGAGGGAGCACAGGUGUGGGAAUGUGCAGGUGCCAGACUUCCCCGGAGCAGAUGCCCCAGGUCCCAAUUCACAGAUUUGCUCAUGAUCCACCCUCUCCGUGGCCGUCAAGUCCCGGUAAAGGAUGACUUGGACAUGAUGAACUCUACUGCCUCGUGCACAUUACUUCCAUGCCGUGUCUUUCCUGGAUAACUCGGAUGAAUGUAAUGUCAUGUUACAUGGCUGUGGCUGUCUUCGAACAUCUCUCAUCAAUCCUUCUCCAAACUCUUCGUUAGCUCCUCAGCUGAUUCCUCACCUGCAAAGACGGCGGUAACCACCUCCUGCUCUUCUCUGAAACACAGAAAAACCUCGUUGCUCUAUGACUUCAACUAGUUCCUCCAGAAGAAUGACUUAUAAAUCAGAGGACCUAAUCUAGGUUAUCCAGCAGCCUCCACCUACCCAUUAAUGUUCCAGCUGAGGUCCUACAAGGAUCCAAAACACUUUUUAAACUAAAUUUAGAGAUUUUUCUCGUUGGAAAUAUGGCACGCUAAAUAUUGCGAAGAAUUCCUGCUAUGUAACAUCAAAAAAUACUCAAUAGAAAAUAUUUUUGAACUGCCAUUUUAAAUGAAUUAAUGAGCUUGCAAGAAAUCUGCUGAAGUCUACAUAAAGCCCACAUACUUGGAAUAAUUUCACCCCAUCCCUGAUGGGGUCAAGAGUUCAAGCGAACAUUCAAGAAAGAAAUUAUUUUUAUCUUACAUAAUCUCUUCCAGAGAAUAGAAAAGAGGAAUUACUUUCUGACUUUUUUAUUAACCUGAAAACCUUGAUACCAAAACUUGACAAAUAAGAAUGAAAAAGGAGUAUUAGAAUUAAACAUCAUUUAAGAAUAGAGAUAGAAAGACCUUAAAAAACAAUGAAGCACUGGAUCCAGCACUCAAUGAAAACAAGAUCAUAUGAGGUCAUGAAGUAGGGUUUAUUCCAGGAAUGCAAAGUGGAUUUAAUAUUGUAUAAACAAUUAAUGCAAUUUCCGCAGGAACAGACGAAUGGAGUAAACCACAGGACCAUUUUACUAGAUGCAAAAAGAAUUUAAUAAAACUAACAUUCAUUCAUGUUGAAAACUCUUAGGAAACUAGAAGGAGAAAAGAAAUUCAUUAAUAUGAUGAAGAGAAUCUAC